rnacentral:rRNA from 1 species
GUGCCAGCAGCCGCGGUAAUACGUAGGGGGCAAGCGUCAUCCGGAUUUACUGGGUGUAAAGGGAGCGUAGGUGGCGAUGCAAGUCAGAUGUGAAAUCCCCGCGCUUAACGUGGGAACUGCAUUUGAAACUGGCAAGCUAGAGUCUUGUAGAGGGGGUAGAAUUCCAUGUGUAGCGGUGAAAUGCGUAGAGAUGUGGAGGAAUACCGGUGGCGAAGGCGGCCCCCUGGACAAAGACUGACGCUCAGGUGCGAAAGCGUGGGGAGCAAACAGGAUUAGAUACCCUGGUAGUCCACGCUGUAAACGAUGUCGAUUUGGAGGUUGUGGGCAUGACCCGUGGCUUCCGGAGCUAACGCGUUAAAUCGACCGCCUGGGGAGUAACGGCCNCAAGGUUAAAACUCAAAUGAAUUGACGGGGCCCNACAAGCGGUGGAGCAUGUGGUUAAUUCGAUGCAACGCGAAGAACCUUACCUACUCUUGACAUCCAGAGAACUUAGCAGAGAUGCUUUGGUGCCUUCGGGAACUCUGAGACAGGUGCUGCAUGGCCGCCGCCAGC